rnacentral:rRNA from 1 species
GACGAACGCUGGCGGCGUGCUUAACACAUGCAAGUCGAACGGUGAAGCGCCUUCCUUUUUGGUGGGUGUGGAUGAGUGGCGAACGGGUGAGUAACACGUGAGUAACCUGCUCCCUUCUUCUGGAUAACCGCAUGAAAGUGUGGCUAAUACGGGAUAUUCUGGGUCUGUCGCAUGAUGGGUCUGGGAAAGAUUUUGUUUCGGUGGGGGAUGGUCUCGCGGCCUAUCAGCUUGUUGGUGGGGUGAUGGCCUACCAAGGCGGCGACGGGUAGCCGGCCUGAGAGGGUGGACGGCCAGAGAGGGACGGCGAGACCGCCCAGACUGCGAAGGGGGGCAGCAGUGGGGAAGAGGGAACAGUGGGCGACAGCAUGAUGCAGCGGCGCGGCGGGAGGGAUGGAGGCCUGCGGGUUAUGAACCGCUUUCGGCAGUGAAGCAGGCCUGGCGCGUUUGUGGGGGGGUUGACGGUAGCUGGAUAAGAAGCGCCGGCUAACUACGUG